rnacentral:rRNA from 1 species
UACGGAGGAUGCGAGCGUUUUCCGGAUUUACUGGGUUUAAAGGGUGCGUAGGCGGGCGAUUAAGUGAGAAUUGAAAGGCAGUCGCUCAACGAUUGUAAGGUUCUCAUACUGGUUGUCUUGAGAGUAGUGGAGGCAGAUGGAAUGAGUGGAGUAGCGGUGAAAUGCAUAGAUACCACUUGGAACACCGAUUGCGAAGGCAGUCUGCGACGCUAUAUCUGACGCUGAGGCACGAAAGCGGGGGGAGCAAACAGG